rnacentral:rRNA from 1 species
GAGUUUGAUCGUGGCUCAGAUUGAACGCUGGCGGCAUGCCUUACACAUGCAAGUCGAGCGGCAGCGCGGGGGCAACCCUGGCGGCGAGCGGCGAACGGGUGAGUAAUACAUCGGAACGUGUCCUGUCGUGGGGGAUAACCAGUCGAAAGAUUGGCUAAUACCGCAUGACCUCGUAAGAGAAAAGCGGGGGACCGUAAGGCCUCGCGCGACUGGAGCGGCCGAUGUCGGAUUAGCUAGUUGGCGGGGUAAAAGCCCACCAAGGCGACGAUCCGUAGCUGGUUUGAGAGAACGACCAGCCACACUGGGACUGAGACACGGCCCAGACUCCUACGGGAGGCAGCAGUGGGGAAUUUUGGACAAUGGGGGCAACCCUGAUCCAGCCAUGCCGCGUGUGUGAAGAAGGCCUUCGGUUGUAAGCACUUCGUAC